rnacentral:rRNA from 1 species
UACGGAGGGUGCGAGCGUUGUCCGGAAUCACUGGGCGUAAAGGGCGCGUAGGUGGCGCGGGCAGUCAACGGUGAAAGUUCGGGGCUCAACCCUGAAUCGGCCGUCGAUACUCCCGGGCUGGAGCACUGUAGAGGCUAAUGGAAUUCCUAGUGUAGAGGUGAAAUUCGUAGAUAUUAGGAGGAAUACCGGCGGCGAAGGCGGCCUUCUGGGCCGUUCCUGACACUGAGACGCGAAAGCGUGGGGAGCAAACAGG